UACGUAGGGUGCGAGCGUUAAUCGGAAUUACUGGGCGUAAAGCGUGCGCAGGCGGUUCGUUAAGUCAGAUGUGAAAGCCCCGGGCUCAACCUGGGAACUGCAUUUGAAACUGGCGGCUUGAGUAUGGCAGAGGGGGGUGGAAUUCCGCGUGUAGCAGUGAAAUGCGUAGAGAUGCGGAGGAACACCGAUGGCGAAGGCAGCCCCCUGGGCCAAUACUGACGCUCAGGCACGAAAGCGUGGGGAGCAAACAGG
rnacentral:rRNA from 1 species